UUCCUCACCGACGUCGAUCGGCGUGAUGCAAUUCGUAAUGAAUCCACCACAACCGAUACGAACGUCGUUCGCACGUAGCGUCGAACGCGAGGGGCAAAUAGAGGCCGAGGCCUCGUGCCCACAACAUGUUCCGCAUCCGAGAUUUCGAGCAUUACGCCUUGGGUGGGCUACCCGAGCGCGUGCGCAAACACCCACGAGUGCCAACCACGACGCAUGCUUUGAGUUCCAAUCCGCACCACAACACCAAAGGGCGACGCGGGGCAGAAUGAAAAUGGGACUAGUUCGUCAUCGUCAUGCCUUAAAGAUAGGUAUCGAGCACAGGAGGCCGCAAUCGGACAAAGCUUGGGAGCCCUUGCACCGAAGUUUGAAGAGGCGCGAU
rnacentral:misc_RNA from 1 species